UACUAGCAGGGAUGGACUGCACGAAUAUCCUCGGCCAACUCGUUCCCCACCAGGUAUUCGAGGAAUUCAUGGUUGUACGUAUCAGAACAUCCAUUAAGAGAUGUACAAACUUGCUAUUGCUGAUUCCAUAGACAUGCGAUAGAAUAUAGCGGAUGUGCUCGAAACCACAUACAUAUUUGACGAUACCCCACGAUCAAGUUUCCGAAUACACAUAAAUUGGGCAACACGAGUGAUUAUUAAAUGACUCGUAAGAAAAAUGGGAACAGUACAGUAAACCAGUUCAGAGGAAACAAGCGACAAGAUUAAGUGCAAUUGUGAUCUGGUCUUUUGCUUUUUGACGCAAAUCGUAGGAUGGCAUCAAGUUCGUUAAAAGGAAACUUGCAUGGAUGCCUGAACACAGGCAAAAGCGAGAAUCGUAUACAUAAUAGAUAUAUAUUUCCUCAGUUGUGGUAAUACUUUUUGUUUUAAGCGAGAGGCAAUUGGUAUAUCAGUAUUAGUAUUUUAAUUGAGAAAGUUGUUUUAAUAUUUGAUUUAUUCUAAAAAUGCCAUAUGAGAUGGUAAUAAUGUAUAUGGAACAAUAUAAUAAUGGGAUAGUAAUUUCCUAGAAGAUAUAGUUUAUAACAUCCUGCUCGUAUAAAAUCUAUGUCGUGAUUAUAAUUGUCAUUAGUUUAUUAUGCAAAUCAUAGUGUAAGUUCUCGAUGUAGACCGUGUACAAUAAACGAUGAAGGAAUUGCGGUUCACUGAGUGGACCCGCGAGGAGCCGUUAGAUGGUAACCAA